UACGGAAGGCAGCAGUAGGGAAUCUUCCGCAAUGGACGAAAGUCUGACGGAGCAACGCCGCGUGAACGAUGAAGGCUUUCGGGUCGUAAAGUUCUGUUGUUAGGGAAGAACAAGUACCGGAGUAACUGCCGGUACCUUGACGGUACCUAACCAGAAAGCCACGGCUAACUACGUGCCAGCAGCCGCGGUAAUACGUAGGUGGCAAGCGUUGUCCGGAAUUAUUGGGCGUAAAGCGCGCGCAGGCGGUCCUUUAAGUCUGAUGUGAAAGCCCACGGCUCAACCGUGGAGGGUCAUUGGAAACUGGGGACUUGAGUGCAGAAGAGGAGAGUGGAAUUCCACGUGUAGCGGUGAAAUGCGUAGAGAUGUGGAGGAACACCAGUGGCGAAGGCGACUCUCUGGUCUGUAACUGACGCUGAGGCGCGAAAGCGUGGGGAGCGAACAGGAUAGAUACC
rnacentral:rRNA from 1 species